AAUUGAGACAGGUGGUGCAUGGUUGUCGUCAGCUCGUGUCGUGAGAGUGUUGGGUUAAGUCCCGUAACGAGCGCAACCCUUGUCCUUAGUUACCAGCACGUUAUGGUGGGCACUCUAAGGAGACUGCCGGUGACAAACCGGAGGAAGGUGGGGAUGACGUCAAGUCAUCAUGGCCCUUACGGCCUGGGCUACACACGUGCUACAAUGGUCGGUACAAAGGGUUGCCAAGCCGCGAGGUGGAGCUAAUCCCAUAAAACCGAUCGUAGUCCGGAUCGCAGUCUGCAACUCGACUGCGUGAAGUCGGAAUCGCUAGUAAUCGUGAAUCAGAAUGUCACGGUGAAUACGUUCCCGGGCCUU
rnacentral:rRNA from 1 species